GGGGGUAUAACUCAAUAGGUAGAGAACAUUCUUUGCAGGUAUGUAGUAGCGGUUCGAGCCCGCUUAUCUCCA
rnacentral:tRNA from 1 species